rnacentral:rRNA from 1 species
UACGUGGGGGGCGAGCGUUGUCCGGAAUUACUGGGCGUAAAGAGCGCGUAGGCGGCUUUUCAAGUCGGAUGUGAAAUCUCCAGGGCUCAACCCGGAAACUGCAUCCGAUACUGACGAGCUUGAGAGAUGAAGGGGCAAGUGGAAUUCCCGGUGUAGCGGUGAAAUGCAUUGAUAUCGGGAGGAACACCCGUAGCGAAGGCGGCUUGCUGGGCAUCUUCUGACGCUGAGGCGCGAAAGCAGGGGGAGCAAACGGG